rnacentral:rRNA from 1 species
GGUCAAGCGAAUAAGCGCACACGGUGGAUGCCUAGGCGGUCAGAGGCGAUGAAGGACGUGGUAGCCUGCGAAAAGUGUCGGGGAGCUGGCAACAAGCUUUGAUCCGGCAAUAUCCGAAUGGGGAAACCCACUGCUUCGGCAGUAUCCUGCAGUGAAUUCAUAGCUGCUGGAAGCAAACCCGGUGAACUGAAAUAUCUAAGUAACCGGAGGAAAAGAAAUCAACCGAGAUUCCCUAAGUAGUGACGAGCGAACGGGGAGCAGCCCUUAAGCUGGAAUGGCUUUAGAAAAACAAUCUGGAAAGAUUGGCCAUAGAAGGUGAUAGCCCUGUAUUUAAAAGGGCCACUCCAGUGAAGACGAGUAGGGCGGGGCACGUGAAACCCUGUCUGAAUAUGGGGGGACCAUCCUCCAAGGCUAAAUACUCCUGACCGACCGAUAGUGAACCAGUACCGUGAGGGAAAGGCGAAAAGAACCCCGGAGAGGGGAGUGAAAUAGAUCCUGAAACCGUGUGCGUACAAGCAGUAGGAGCUCGCAAGAGUGACUGCGUACCUUUUGUAUAAUGGGUCAGCGACUUACUGUUCGUGGCAAGCUUAACCGUAUAGGGGAGGCGAAGGGAAACCGAGUCUGAUAAGGGCGCAUAGUCGCGGGCAGUAGACCCGAAACCGGGUGAUCUAGUCAUGGCCAGGGUGAAGGUGCCGUAACAGGUACUGGAGGCCCGAACCCACGUCUGUUGCAAAAGACGGGGAUGAGCUGUGAUUAGGAGUGAAAAGCUAAUCGAACCCGGAGAUAGCUGGUUCUCCUCGAAAGCUAUUUAGGUAGCGCCUCGGACGAAUACUACUGGGGGUAGAGCACUGUUAUGGCUAGGGGGUCAUCGCGACUUACCAAACCAUUGCAAACUCCGAAUACCAGUACGUACUAUCCGGGAGACACACGGCGGGUGCUAACGUCCGUCGUGAAAAGGGAAACAACCCAGACCCACAGCUAAGGUCCCAAAUUCACUGCUAAGUGGAAAACGAUGUGGAAAGGCAUAGACAGCCAGGAGGUUGGCUUAGAAGCAGCCACCCUUUAAAGAAAGCGUAAUAGCUCACUGGUCGAGUCGGUCUGCGCGGAAGAUUUAACGGGGCUAAGCAGUGAACCGAAGCUUGGGGUGCAUAAAACUUGUUUUAUGCGCGGUAGAGGAGCGUUCCGUAAGCCUGCGAAGGUGGAUUGAGAAGUCUGCUGGAGGUAUCGGAAGUGCGAAUGCUGACAUGAGUAACGAUAAUGCGGGUGAAAAGCCCGCACGCCGAAAGCCCAAGGUUUCCUUGCGCAACGUUAAUCGACGCAGGGUUAGUCGGUCCCUAAGGCGAGGGCGAAAGCCGUAGUCGAUGGGAAGCAGGUUAAUAUUCCUGCACCUCGCGUGAGUGCGAUGGAGGGACGGAGAAGGUUAGGUGUACCGGGCGUUGGUUGUCCCGGGGAAAGGCGGUAGGUUUGGAUCUUUGGCAAAUCCGGGAUCCUUUAAGACCGAGCACCGAGACGAGCCUUUAUGGCGAAGUCACUGAUACCACGCUUCCAGGAAAAGCUCCUAAGCUUCAGCUCACGAAGACCGUACCGUAAACCGACACAGGUGGGUAGGAUGAGAAUUCUCAGGCGCUUGAGAGAACUCGGGUGAAGGAACUAGGCAACAUGGCACCGUAACUUCGGGAGAAGGUGCACCCUUUUUGGUGGCUCAUGCGAGCUAUAGCUGAAGAGGGUCGCAGAAACCAGGCCGCUGCGACUGUUUAUCAAAAACACAGCACUCUGCAAACACGAAAGUGGACGUAUAGGGUGUGACGCCUGCCCGGUGCUGGAAGGUUAAUUGAUGGGGUCAGCCGCAAGGCGAAGCUCUUGAUCGAAGCCCCAGUAAACGGCGGCCGUAACUAUAACGGUCCUAAGGUAGCGAAAUUCCUUGUCGGGUAAGUUCCGACCUGCACGAAUGGCGUAACGACAGCGGCGCUGUCUCCACCCGAGACUCAGUGAAAUUGAAAUCGCUGUGAAGAUGCAGCGUUCCCGUGGCAAGACGGAAAGACCCCGUGAACCUUUACUAUAGCUUUACACUGAACGUUGAGUUCGUCUGUGUAGGAUAGGUGGGAGGCUAUGAAACUGUGGCGCUAGCUGCAGUGGAGCCAUCCUUGAAAUACCACCCUGUCGUGCUUGACGUUCUAACCUAGGUCCGUUAUCCGGAUCAGGGACCGUGUAUGGUGGGUAGUUUGACUGGGGCGGUCUCCUCCUAAAGAGUAACGGAGGAGCACGAAGGUACGCUCAGCGCGGUCGGACAUCGCGCACUGUGUGCAAAGGCAUAAGCGUGCUUGACUGCAAGAUCGACGGAUCAAGCAGGUACGAAAGUAGGUCUUAGUGAUCCGGUGGUUCUGUAUGGAAGGGCCAUCGCUCAACGGAUAAAAGGUACUCCGGGGAUAACAGGCUGAUACCGCCCAAGAGUUCAUAUCGACGGCGGUGUUUGGCACCUCGAUGUCGGCUCAUCACAUCCUGGGGCUGUAGUCGGUCCCAAGGGUAUGGCUGUUCGCCAUUUAAAGUGGUACGCGAGCUGGGUUCAGAACGUCGUGAGACAGUUCGGUCCCUAUCUGCCAUGGGCGUUGGAAGUUUGAGAGGGGCUGCUCCUAGUACGAGAGGACCGGAGUGGACGAACCUCUGGUGUUCCGGUUGUCACGCCAGUGGCAUUGCCGGGUAGCUAUGUUCGGAAGCGAUAACCGCUGAAAGCAUCUAAGCGGGAAGCGCGCCUCAAGAUGAGACUUCCCGGGGCACAAGCCCCCUAAAGGAACCAUGUAGACUACGUGGUUGAUAGGUCAGGUGUGUAAGUACAGCAAUGUAUUGAGCUAACUGAUACUAAUGAUCCGUGCGGCUUGACCAU